rnacentral:rRNA from 1 species
AGCGAACGCUGGCGGCAGGCCUAACACAUGCAAGUCGAACGAACCCUUCGGGGUUAGUGGCGGACGGGUGAGUAACACGUGGGAACGUGCCUUUAGGUUCGGAAUAACUCAGGGAAACUUGUGCUAAUACCGAAUGUGCCCUUCGGGGGAAAGAUUUAUCGCCUUUAGAGCGGCCCGCGUCUGAUUAGCUAGUUGGUGAGGUAAUGGCUCACCAAGGCUACGAUCAGUAGCUGGUCUGAGAGGAUGACCAGCCACAUUGGGACUGAGACACGGACCAAACUCCUACGGGAGGCAGCAGUGGGGAAUCUUGCGCAAUGGGCGAAAGCCUGACGCAGCCAGGCCGCGUGGAUGAUGAAGGUCUUAGGAUUGUAAAAUCCUUUCACCGGUGAAGAUAAUGACUGUAGCCGGAGAAGAAGCCCCGGCUAACUUCGUGCCAGCCGCCGCGGUAAAAC